rnacentral:rRNA from 1 species
GAUGAACGCUGGCGGCGUGCCCAACACAUGCAAGUCGAACGGUCCUUCGGGAUAGUGGCGGACGGGUGAGUAACACGUAGCUGACCUGCCUCAAAGUAGGGGAUAACGUUUCGAAAGAGACGCUAAUACCGUAUAAGCUCACGGUGUUUAGAAGACUGUGAGAAAAGCGUAUACGCUUUGAGAGGGGGCUGCGACCCAUCAGGUAGUUGGUGAGGUAAAGGCUCACCAAGCCGACGACGGGUAGGGGGACCUGAGAGGGUGAACCCCCCGCACUGGGAUUGAGACACGGCCCAGACUCCUACGGGAGGCAGCAGUGAGGAAUAUUGGUCAAUGGGGGGAACCCUGAACCAGCAACGCCGCGUGGGCGAUGAAGGCUUUUCGGGGUCGUAAAGGCCCUUUUUGCAGGGUGACGAGGAAGGACGGUAGCCUGCGAAUAAGUGUCGGGCUAACUACGUGCCAGCAGCCGCAGUAAG